UACAGAGGUGGCAAGCGUUGUUCGGAAUUACGUGGCGUAAAGGGCGCGUAGGCGGCUUUUUAAGUCAGACGUGAAAUCCCCCGGCUUAACCUGGGAACUGCGUCUGAUACUGGGAAGCUUGAGUUCGGGAGAGGGAUGUAGAAUUCCAGGUGUAGCGGUGAAAUGCGUAGAUAUCUGGAGGAAUACCGGUGGCGAAGGCGGCAUCCUGGACCGGCAUUGACGCUGAGGAGCGAAAGCUAGGGGAGCAAACGGGG
rnacentral:rRNA from 1 species